rnacentral:rRNA from 1 species
GAUGAACGCUGGCGGCGUGCCUAAUACAUGCAAGUCGAGCGAACGGACGAGAAGCUUGCUUCUCUGAUGUUAGCGGCGGACGGGUGAGUAACACGUGGAUAACCUACCUAUAAGACUGGGAUAACUUCGGGAAACCGGAGCUAAUACCGGAUAAUAUUUUGAACCGCAUGGUUCAAAAGUGAAAGACGGUCUUGCUGUCACUUAUAGAUGGAUCCGCGCUGCAUUAGCUAGUUGGUAAGGUAACGGCUUACCAAGGCAACGAUGCAUAGCCGACCUGAGAGGGUGAUCGGCCACACUGGAACUGAGACACGGUCCAGACUCCUACGGGAGGCAGCAGUAGGGAAUCUUCCGCAAUGGGCGCAAGCCUGACGGAGCAACGCCGCGUGAGUGAUGAAGGUCUUCGGAUCGUAAAACUCUGUUAUUAGGGAAGAACAUAUGUGUAAGUAACUGUGCACCUCUUGACGGUACCUAAUCAGAAAGCCACGGCUAACUACGUG